rnacentral:rRNA from 1 species
GGUGAACGCUGGCGGUAGGCCUAACACAUGCAAGUCGAACGGCAGCACAGUAAGAGCUUGCUCUUACGGGUGGCGAGUGGCGGACGGGUGAGGAAUACAUCGGAAUCUACUUUUUCGUGGGGGAUAACGUAGGGAAACUUACGCUAAUACCGCAUACGACCUACGGGUGAAAGCAGGGGAUCUUCGGACCUUGCGCGAUUGAAUGAGCCGAUGUCGGAUUAGCUAGUUGGCGGGGUAAAGGCCCACCAAGGCGACGAUCCGUAGCUGGUCUGAGAGGAUGAUCAGCCACACUGGAACUGAGACACGGUCCAGACUCCUACGGGAGGCAGCAGUGGGGAAUAUUGGACAAUGGGCGCAAGCCUGAUCCAGCCAUACCGCGUGGGUGAAGAAGGCCUUCGGGUUGUAAAGCCCUUUUGUUGGGAAAGAAAAGCAGCAGGUUAAUACCCCGCUGUCCUGACGGUACCCAAAGAAUAAGCACCGGCUAACUUCGUG